UACGGAGGGGGCUAGCGUUGUUCGGAAUUACUGGGCGUAAAGCGCGCGUAGGCGGACCUGCAAGUCGGGGGUGAAAGCCCGAGGCUCAACCUCGGAACUGCCUUCGAUACUGCGGGUCUCGAGUCCGGGUGAGGUGAGUGGAAUUCCUAGUGUAGAGGUGAAAUUCGUAGAUAUUAGGAAGAACACCAAUGGCGAAGGCAGCUCGCUGGGACGGUACUGACGCUGAGGUGCGAAAGCGUGGGGAGCGAACAGG
rnacentral:rRNA from 1 species